GUCCAAGCAAAAGAGCAUGGCGACCUGACUCCUACUAAUGCACUGGCGCGAGCGUUGAGGGCGUAUUCCAACUCGAAACGCGAGCGGAGGGCUGCCACGUGACUCCGUCCGGGACUGCCGCGUGCCACUAGGCAGUCUGUUGAGGAAGAUGGGGAUAGAGAGCCACUGCUGUUACUGGAGGCCGGAGACAUCAGCUGGACACAUAGAAACACACAAACAUAUAAUGGGCAGACAGAAGAACACAUAAUUUAAAGGAUGCAAAGGCAUUCCUCCAGUUUGGCUACCACCUCUGAAAACUCAGGCCUUUCCUGAAAUGGAGACAAAUGAAAAACUGAGGAUAUUCAUCAGAGAGGUUUGUUUUGAGUACAUUUGAAAACUAUUCUCUGACUAUUCAAUCAGGCGUUCUGCUGAAGAGGGCUCACUGAUCGCAGCCCACGCAUCAUUCAAAGAGGAGGACUUCAAAGGACCAGACUCAUUGGUACUUCAUCAGAGGAGCGAGACCGAAAAAAAAAAAAAGAACUAUGAUAGAGGUUGUGAAUCACAAAGAGCUACUGUGGUCAUGAGCUGAAUAAUAUUUUCUGAUUAUUUCUGUGUAUUCAUUACUGACAGUUUGCACCUUAAAUUAUGUAACCAGUCCAUAAUACUGUAUAUACUUAUGGGUAGUUAAAAUGAAAUACUUGACCAUGUAGUCCAUGACAUGGCAUAUUCUUUUAAACGGCAUUAUGCUAAUUCUUGUAUAAUUUUUAUGCAUGCAGCUUUAAUGACCUCAUAUUAGUUUUAGAGACUACAUUUGUCACGCAGCAGGACCAUUCGAAAUGAACUAAAAGGUGCUUAAUACUAGUGGAAAAACUUGAUACAAUGGUGAAGGAAAAAAAAAACCCCUAAGAUAUUUGCUUUCCAAUAUACAUUCAUUUAAAUGUUAAAAUCCACCCAUUAAAUAAAGGUAUUAAUAUUAAAGCAUUUUUCAAGCUGUUAGCAUCUUAUAUUUCCUGGCUCUGCCAAAGUGUUGCUCAGCAAAUGUGCCGUGCUCUAGGGAAUAGUGUUAAGCUGCACUAGGUAGCCGGGCACAUUCCUAACAUGCUCACUUGACAUGGUUUCAGCCAUGCACCUGAGGGACCAGCUGUGAGAACAUCAUAUGGUGGUUGUACACGAGCAAACACCUGGCACAGGUUUGUUGUAUGGAGAUGUGGUAGGCUAGCAACAGGUUGAACAGGAAAAAAAAAUUGUCCUCCGCUCAAGGCAUUCUGGCUAAUCUGACUGAUUAUAAACAGGCUCAGGGGCACACAUAUGGGAGCUAAAGUCAAUACGAAUUGCCUUUUGCAACACAUUUUGCAUCCCUAUUAUUGAAUAGGGAUGCAAAAUUAUUUAAGAAAAAUGAAGGGCAGGACUUGAAAAGCAAUGAAAGGCAUUUCAGAUGAAGAGCAAGUUAUUACAUUUUGAAUAAAAAUGACAGAGAGAGACUUUUUUCUUUGGAAUAACAUUGCACCAAUGAAUAUUUCACACUAAGACUAGGUAUAUGCAUCAUUAAAAUAUAAAGAGUCAAUUCUGAUGUCAUGUUGUAUAUAUUAAAAUGUUAAUCAUACAGGGAUGGUUCACCCAAAAAGAAUAAUUAUCUUAUC